CUGCCAGACUCCUACGGGAGGCAGCAGUGGGGAAUAUUGCACAAUGGGGGAAACCCUGAUGCAGCAACGCCGCGUGAGUGAAGAAGUAUUUCGGUAUGUAAAGCUCUAUCAGCAGGGAAGAAAAUGACGGUACCUGAGUAAGAAGCCCCGGCUAACUACGUGCCAGCAGCCGCGGUAAUACGUAGGGGGCAAGCGUUAUCCGGAUUUACUGGGUGUAAAGGGAGCGUAGACGGCGAUACAAGUCUGAAGUGAAAGCCCGGGGCUCAACCCCGGGACUGCUUUGGAAACUGUGUUGCUGGAGUGUCGGAGAGGCAGGCAGAAUUCCUAGUGUAGCGGUGAAAUGCGUAGAUAUUAGGAGGAACACCAGUGGCGAAGGCGGCCUGCUGGACGAUGACUGACGUUGAGGCUCGAAAGCGUGGGGAGCAAACAGGAUUAGAUACCCGGGUAGG
rnacentral:rRNA from 1 species